ACCUGGCUGGUUCAGUUGGUAGAACAUGUGACUCUUGAUUUUGGGGUCAUGAGUUAAAGUCCCAUGUUGGAUA
rnacentral:tRNA from 1 species